rnacentral:rRNA from 1 species
UACGUAGGGGCGAGCGUUGUCCGGAAUUAUUGGGCGUAAAGGGUUCGUAGGCGGUAAUACAUGUCAGAUGUGAAAUCUUGUGGCUUAACCACAUCAAGCAUCUGAAACUGUAUAACUUGAGUGGAGGAGAGGUAAGUGGAAUUCCUAGUGUAGCGGUGAAAUGUGUAGAUAUUAGGAGGAACACCAGUGGCGAAGGCGACUUACUGGACUGUAACUGACGCUGAGUCACGAAAGCGUGGGUAGCAAACAGGAUUAGAUACCCUGGUA